UACGAAGGGUGCAAGCGUUAAUCGGAAUUACUGGGCGUAAAGGGUGCGUAGGCGGUUCGUUAAGUCUGUCGUGAAAUCCCCGGGCUCAACCUGGGAAUGGCGAUGGAUACUGGCGAGCUAGAGUGUGUCAGAGGAUGGUGGAAUUCCCGGUGUAGCGGUGAAAUGCGUAGAGAUCGGGAGGAACAUCAGUGGCGAAGGCGGCCAUCUGGGACAACGCUGACGCUGAAGCACGAAAGCGUGGGGAGCAAACAGG
rnacentral:rRNA from 1 species